GACCCGGCGCUCGAUGGCCUCGAGACCAUCCCAAGCUUGGCCGCGGCGGCCGAUACGGACGGCGACGGGAUGGUGUCGAACUACGAGCUGUACGAGGCCCUGGACCCAACGCGCUUCGUGGUGGACU
rnacentral:ribozyme from 1 species